rnacentral:lncRNA from 1 species
UCGCAAUCAAUUCCCCUGACCAUAGGCGGCCCACUACCAGGCGGUUACAAACGUCGCCAUCAGUCCGUUGCCUCUUCCGCCUAUAAAAGGGGGAUCCAGAUACGUUAUUCUUUAAGCUCCUUUUCCUUAUCUCAAAACUCUGCUAAAUUCUUCGUUCGAGCACUCCAUUCUUGUUGAGGCAGAAAACUGACUUGAGCGUCGGAGGGUCUUGCCGGAGCAACCCCACCUCCGGCUUAGACUUCCCUUGCAGGUCCCGGCGGUGACCGCGGC